GGCCUAAUGGUCUAGAAGUAUGAUACUCGCUUUGGGUGCUUCCGAGUGCGAGUGGUCCUGGGUUCAAUUCCCAGUUAGGCCC